GCCAGGCAUGGUGGCACAUACCGGUGGUCCCAGCUACUUGGGAGGCUGAGGCUGGAGUAUCACUUAAGUCCAGGAGUUCUGGGCUGUAGUGCACUAUGCUGAUUGGGUGUCCGCACUAAGUUCAGCAUCAAUAUGGUGACCUCCCCAGGAGCAGGGAACCACCAGGUUGCCUAAACAGGGAUGAACCAGCCCAGGUGGGAAACGGAGCAGGUCAAAACUCCCGUGCUGAUCAGUAGUGGGAUCGCACCUGUGAAUAGCCACUGCACUCCAGCCUGGGCAACAUAGAGAGACCCCAUCUCUU
ensembl:misc_RNA Metazoa_SRP Metazoan signal recognition particle RNA